GAAGCGAAAAACCCUAGCCGCCCACCCAUAUACAGUAGCUUGGCAUCCCACUGCCGUUCGUGUUCCGAAGCGACUGUACGACUAUGUUUCUUGCUCCGUUUGACGGGUCAAGAAGGCGGCUUGGCCAAUCAUAUGGUUUCGGGGUCUGGGCUGUGCGCGAGGAACUCCUCUAACGGGCAACCCGUUGUGGCCGUCUGCUGCGAGGAGAUCUGCCUUUCCGAGGGGCUCGUCCGCCAAAAGAUGAAGUACCUCCGCUUUCUCCGCAAGCGCAUGAACUCCGAGCCCUCCCACGGCCCCGUCCACUUUCGCACCCCUGCCAAGAUCCUCUGGCGCACCCCGUCUGCGGGUAAUCUCAAUCAUCUUGACAUAACAUGAUGACAGACGAAAGGUGGAGCCGCUGCGUUGGCAAGGCUCAAGGCACACGAGGGGGUGCCACCUCCGUACGAUAAGAUGAAGAGGAUGGUUAUUUCGGACGCCCUCAAGUGUAAGUUUUUUGUUUGAUUGUUCGAGUGCAAAUGUUUUCGUUAUCUGGUCUUGUUGAUGAAAUGCUCGAUGUGUUUUUACGUUAUUGAGGUUUCAACCCGUCCAUAGAUACUGCUUGUUUGGUCGGCUGUCAUCUGAGGUUGGAUGGAAUUAAUAUGAUACCGUUAAGGUCAGAUCAAAUCGGCGUUUUGAAAACCUGCUGGACUGCACUCCGUGUAUGUUAUUGGGCCCAGUAUAUGGGGAUAAGCCUGAUGGAGCUGCAGAGGGCAUAAGUCUAGUGGGUUAACUUGAGAGAUCAGUUUCCUCGAUGGGCCCAUUUAUUGGUUGAAUCUUCAUCAAAUAUUGAUAGCUGCGUCUGCUAGAUCUUUUGUCUUGCUUCUUGGAUCCCUUUUUUUGUUAUGCAGAUUGUAGUGAUGCCACAUGAUGCUGCAAGACUCUCAUAAAAGUCUUACAUUUCUUUUAUUUAUGGUGAUUGAUUUUGAGCGCUUUUUACUAA